AAUAGAUACCCCGGUAGUCCACGCCCUAAACGAUGCUCACUAGGUGUUGGGGAAGCGAUUCCUUGGUACCGUAGCUAACGCGUGAAGUGAGCCGCCUGGGGAGUACGGCCGCAAGGUUAAAACUCAAAGGAAUUGACGGGGACCCGCACAAGCGGUGGAUGAUGUGGAUUAAUUCGAUGCAACGCGAACAACCUUACCUACCCUUGACAUGUCCGGAAGCCUGCUGAAAGGUGGGUGUGCUCGAAAGAGAACCGGAACACAGGUGCUGCAUGGCUGUCGUCAGCUCGUGUCGUGAGAUGUUGGGUUAAGUCCCGCAACGAGCGCAACCCUUGUCCCUAAUUGCUACGCAAGGGCACUCUAGGGAGACUGCCGGUGACAAACCGGAGGAAGGUGGGGAUGACGUCAAGUCCUCAUGGCCCUUAUGGGUAGGGCUUCACACGUCAUACAAUGGACGGUACAGAGGGUUGCCAACCCGCGAGGGGGAGCCAAUCCCAGAAAGCCGUUCGUAGUCCGGAUCGCAGUCUGCAACUCGACGUGUGAGU
rnacentral:rRNA from 1 species